rnacentral:rRNA from 1 species
GAUGAACGCUAGCUACAGGCUUAACACAUGCAAGUCGAGGGGCAGCGGGAUUGAAGCUUGCUUCAAUUGCCGGCGACCGGCGCACGGGUGAGUAACGCGUAUCCAACCUUCCGUACACUCAGGGAUAGCCUUUCGAAAGAAAGAUUAAUACCUGAUGGUAUGAUGAGAUUGCAUGAUAUCAUCAUUAAAGAUUUAUCGGUGUACGAUGGGGAUGCGUUCCAUUAGGUAGUAGGCGGGGUAACGGCCCACCUAGCCAACGAUGGAUAGGGGUUCUGAGAGGAAGGUCCCCCACAUUGGAACUGAGACACGGUCCAAACUCCUACGGGAGGCAGCAGUGAGGAAUAUUGGUCAAUGGACGAGAGUCUGAACCAGCCAAGUAGCGUGAAGGAUGAAGGUCCUACGGAUUGUAAACUUCUUUUAUAAGGGAAUAAACCCUCCCACGUGUGGGAGCUUGUAUGUACCUUAUGAAUAAGUAUCGGCUAACUCCGUG